UACGGAGGGCGCGAGCGUUAUCCGGAUUUAUUGGGUUUAAAGGGUGCGUAGGCGGGCUUUUAAGUCAGCGGUAAAAAUUCGGGGCUCAACCCCGUCCGGCCGUUGAAACUGGGGGUCUUGAGUGGGCGAGAAGAAGGCGGAAUGCGUGGUGUAGCGGUGAAAUGCAUAGAUAUCACGCAGAACUCCGAUUGCGAAGGCAGCGUACCGGCGCCCAACUGACGCUGAAGCACGAAGGCGUGGGUAUCGAACAGG
rnacentral:rRNA from 1 species